GGGAUUCAGACUGUGAUAACCUGGUGCCAUCCUCAAAAGAGCAGGUAGGACUAAUUCUUCCACUCAGAGAUCAGAAGAGUACAAGUCACCACCCCAAGCAAGCUGAGACACAGAGUAUGUCAGAGAUGUGCUGUGACUGUUCUCCAAGGCCACUGAACUAUCUUGAGUGCAAGAAGUAUUCAUGUGACUUUCUCUGGAAUAUUUCACCUUGGUAAGAUGCCUGGGGAGGCUCGUCAGCCUCUGCUACCUCAGCUAGUGCAGCAGAUAGUGGAAACAGCCCAAAUCAAUGCCUGUGUCCCCUGUGCUAUGUGAGUGGAGGAGAACCUGGGCUCCAGCCAGUUCUGACAGAUCUGGACAAGAAGCAGAGAAGUGUCAAUGUCCUAGAUGUUUUUCAAAGUAACCAGCGUAAUAGGACAUGACUUCACAAACACUUGGUGAACAGUCACUGGAUAAACAAUUGCUAUCGAGGGGCACGAUAUUUUUCUCUAAAUACAGUGCAGUCUCUUUAUGUAAUAGAUGAGGGAACAAAGAUUUCCAGGGAGAAAUGAAUUUUAAGAUUUCCUAAAGUUUUGGAAGCUCUCUAGCAUCUUAGUAUUGAAAUGAUCACUGAGAAAGUACCUCUUCUCAGAGGACAUACUGGUUAUGGAAUCAGCAGUGCUGAUUUUAGAAGUAAAGCUGCAUGCAGGCCACGUCACAGAAAAUAAAAUGAGGAUAAAAAUGCUACUCUGCAGCUGUUCAUUGGGAAUACCUGCAGCAAGUGGUUUUGUUCACACUGUACAGAAGUGGUGCCAGGUGCAGAAUAACCAUUCCUGGGUUUAGCCUUCUGAACUCAUCUUACUUGGAAAAACCCUCGGACCUUCUGUUGAGAGGUGCCUCAUCAAAAGGAGUCAGCUUCCUGAUGGGAUAGGUUAGUUAGACACUUCAUGAGUUCCUGUUUCUGUCCAUUUACUAUAUUUUCCUAGGUGCUUAGCUCGUAAUAAUUUCUCAGAGGUAGGAAGAUAAAUUGGCAAACCUUUGGUGUAGAAUUUCCAUGUGAGAUUGCUUGUCCUUGCUAAAGGUAAUGUCUUUACAAUUGACUAGUUGGAUGUGGAUUAUUCCCAAUGCAAUAUGCCAUUGUGUGUUGCUACUAAGUGCAAGAGUUGUGAAGGAAGACAUUUGAUCUUAGCAAGUAAUAAUCGGAAAAGAAGUAAGAAAUUACUUGGGUUUUUUUGCUUUAAUAACCAGCUUAAGCCAGAAGUUUUAUCAAGACACAGUUCUGUUUUUCAAUGAAUGUUAAGUUAAACACCUGUAAAUAUUAGCAUUUGUUUGCAAAUUGUGAUGAGCAUUUAUUAACUGAGAUGGGCACUUAGAGAGACUAAAUGGUGACAGAAACCUUGAAUUAUUGAUGUAUUUGACAAGUCAUUAAAAAACAGAGUUUCAGGAAUGCAUAAAAAAAAAGCAGAGAAUGUAAUUUGAAACAAAACAUUUUUCCACUCUACAGGUCACCUGAGGAAGGCACACUUAAGAGUCGUACCCCAUUUUGCAAUAUUGACUUCCUGCUUGGACUACUCUUUUACGUUAACUAGGAACUUUAGUUUUUUACAGAACAGAUGUUUUCUCUUAGGAUCAAGCUCUGUGGUAGUCUUAAAAGUCAUGGGAGAAAAGUGCUUACUGGAGUUAGUAGGCUUGAUAGAGCCAGUCAAUGGGAAAUGAAAAUUGUCAAAAACUUCUUUGAAAAUACUCCUUCUGUAUUUUAAAUGGAACUGCAACAUCCUAAAUUCUAGCAAAUAUCUGAAGAGAUAAUGCAGGUGACUCAAAUGUUAGUGAGACUUCGAGGGAGCAUUAUUUUUCAUUGAAAAACUGCUUUGCAUUUUCUUCAUAAAUGCCAACACUUCAGUGGGCAUUUUCACUUCCCUAAAACUCUCCAUUGGCUGAGGUGAGCUUUUCCCUCUCUUAGUACUGGAGAAGCAGCUAGCCCUCAUGAGAAAGACAUAAGAAGAUAAUGUUAGUUUUUCUAGAUACUGGAGGAGUACAGAAUGCUAUAAAUAACUGAAGAGAAGACCCUGGUGCAUGUGCCAGCCAAGACAGAAGUACUGCUGUGCUGUCUCAUCGGCAAGCAGCCCGUAAGGUAGAAUAACAAACGUGGAAAUUUUGUCACAUCUUGGCAAGAUGUUUCUGUGAAGAGGUUGAAAUCUGUAGAAACAGCUCCAAAUAGCAGUAGUAAUUAUCAGUAUAAAUAGCUCAUUAAAAGAAAUGCAAGGUGAAAGCAGAAAUAUUUUGCAUGGGAGGCAGCUGCUGCUUCAAAGGGAGAGACAACGUUUCCUACGGUUUUAUUUGCUAUUUCUACUGGUGCUAAGCAAUUCAGGAAUAAGGACUCAAUUUCUGUUUGCCUUAGAGAAAUGUAAAUACCUUUUGCAUGUACUUGAAAUGUAUUGUGACAAAUAAAGGUCGGGGUGUUGCUUUUUA
ensembl:lncRNA